GACAAUGCAUUUUUUCAUCUGUUCUGCACAAUGCUUUUGUCAUAAUGGAGAUGUGAUAGCAAACAUUCCAGGACAUUCAGUCUUCAGCGGCAGCACUUAGGGCAGAUGACUGGCUGCUGCAAUGUGAAUACAAAAAUGCCUGACUCACCAAAUAAUUUCCUAGAAUAGUUAGCUGGGUGGAGACUCACCAAGUUAAUAACUAAACCCAACCCUCAAGUCUAUUGGCAAAGGACAUAUUUAAGUUUAAUGACUCUGUAUCCACCCAGAAAGAUAAAGGAGGCUUUGAGAUCCUGCUUGGUAGACUGGGAAGAGGAAAAUGACUCAUUAGAUACCUGGAACACUGAAGGCCUGCACUGUAAAUAUUUUGAAAGGCGAGCUGAAGUACUAAACCAGUCUUUUAGAGGCUAUACCAUAUCAAACCUGAGGCAGAUGAUGAUUCAAUAAAUGACUUUUAAAAGCAAGAAAAAGUUGUGCAACAGAAACAUAGGGUAGAACAAAUAAUCUUUGCAUUGUGAACAGUCUAGUGGAGGCCAAGGUCAUGGGUUCAAUUCGCACAUAGUCCAAUUAGCCCCACUUGCUUUGGGGCCUGCAGCAUCUCUCCUAGACUGUCUCUAGCCACAGUGCAAAUGAAUGUAUUGGACCCACAGGGCACUGUAAAAGAAUGAAUAAAUGUGUGCAAAUCUGUA